rnacentral:misc_RNA from 1 species
GAAAUGCGAUAAGUAAUGUGAAUUGCAGAAUUCAGUGAAUCAUCGAAUCUUUGAACGCUCAUUGCGCCCGCCAGUAUUCUGGCGGGCAUGCCUGUUCGAGCGUCAUUACAACCCUCAGGCCCCCGGGCCUGGCGUUGGGGAUCGGCGGAAGCCCCCUGCGGGCACAACGCCGUCCCCCAAAUACAGUGGCGGUCCCGCCGCAGCUUCCAUUGCGUAGUAGCUAACACCUCGCAACUGGAGAGCGGCGCGGCCACGCCGUAAAACACCCAACUUCUGAAUGUUGACCUCGAAUCAGGUAGGAAUACCCGCUGAACUUAAGC